GUGUCAGCAGCCGCGGUAAUACGUAGGGUGCAAGCGUUGUCCGGAAUUAUUGGGCGUAAAGAGCUCGUAGGCGGUCUGUCGCGUCUGCUGUGAAAACCCGAGGCUCAACCUCGGGCCUGCAGUGGGUACGGGCAGACUAGAGUGCGGUAGGGGAGAUUGGAAUUCCUGGUGUAGCGGUGGAAUGCGCAGAUAUCAGGAGGAACACCGAUGGCGAAGGCAGAUCUCUGGGCCGUAACUGACGCUGAGGAGCGAAAGCAUGGGGAGCGAACAGGAUUAGAUACCCUGGUAGUCCAUGCCGUAAACGUUGGGAACUAGAUGUGGGGACCAUUCCACGGUCUCCGUGUCGCAGCUAACGCAUUAAGUUCCCCGCCUGGGGAGUACGGCCGCAAGGCUAAAACUCAAAUAAAUUGGCGG
rnacentral:rRNA from 1 species